GCGCGAGGUCCUGAGCAACGCCUGGCACCGCGUCCCCGUCACCGUCACCAAGUGAGGGACAGCAGGACAUUGGGGUACUGGGGCUUUGGGGACAUUGGGGACAUCAGAGGUACAACCUCACCAUGGGUGAGGGACAUCUUUGGGGACAGCAGGACAUUGGGGUAUUGAGGCUUUGGGGACAUUGGGGACACAGCAGGGACAUCGGGGACAUUGGGGACAUCUGGAACCUGUGCGGGGUCCUCAGCAAUGUCUGGCACUGGGUCCCCGUCACCAUCACCAAGUCAGGGACAGCAGGACAUUGGGGACAUUGGGGUCAGCAGGGACAUCAGGGACAUCUGGAAUUUGUGUGGGGUCCUCAGCAGCGCCUGGCACCGGGUCAGUGUCACCGUCACCAAGUGAAGGACAUUGGGGUACUGGGGACAUUGGGGUUUUGGGGACAUCGGGGACACAGCAGGGACAUCGGGGACAUUGGGGACAUCAGAGGUACGACGUCCAACCGGACACCGUGGGGCCCAUCUGGAACCUGAGCAAGGCCUGGCACGGGGUCAGCGUCACCGUCACCCAGUGAGGGACAUCGGGGACAUCGGGGACAUCUGGAACCUGCCCAGGGUCCCGAGCAAGGCCUGGCACCGGGUCAGUGUCACCGUCACCCAG
rnacentral:lncRNA from 1 species